rnacentral:lncRNA from 1 species
UCGGAAUGUGAUCACAGAGCCUAUUUACCCAGAAGUAGUCCAUAUGUUUGCAGUUAACAUGUUUCGAACAUUACCACCUUCCUCCAAUCCUACGGGAGCGGAAUUUGACCCGGAGGAAGAUGAACCAACGUUAGAAGCAGCCUGGCCUCAUCUACAGCUUGUUUAUGAAUUUUUCUUAAGAUUUUUAGAGUCUCCAGAUUUCCAACCUAAUAUAGCGAAGAAAUAUAUUGAUCAGAAGUUUGUAUUGCAGCUUUUAGAGCUCUUUGACAGUGAAGAUCCUCGGGAGAGAGAUUUUCUUAAAACCACCCUUCACAGAAUCUAUGGGAAAUUCCUAGGCUUGAGAGCUUACAUCAGAAAACAGAUAAAUAAUAUAUUUUAUAGCUCCCUCCUGAGCCACCAAGCUCCCCAGCGCCUCAUCCUGGGUCCCUCCAUUGUUCCUGUUUCUACUGAAAGGUCAAGUUUCCUGGAAAUGUGGAUGAAUUGGUUCCAUCCAGACCAACUGUAUUAGUGAAGGUUCUCUAGAAGGACAGGACGCAUAGGAUAGAUGAAUAUAUGAAGGGGAGUUUAUUAGGAGAGUUGACUCACACGAUCACAAGGUGAAGACCCACAAUAGGCUGUCUGCAGGCCGAGUCCCAAAACCUCAAAAGUAGGGAGACGGACAGUGCAGCCUUCAGUCUGUGGCGGAAAGCCCAGGAGCCCCUGGCAAACCACUGGUGUAGGUCCAAGAGUCCAGAAGCUGAAGAAUUUAGAGUCCAAUGUUCAAGGGCAGGAAGCAUCCAGCACAGGAGAAAGAUGGAGGCCAGAAGACUCAGCCAGUCUAGCCCUUCCACGUUCCUCUGCCUGCUUAAUUCUGGCCGCACCGGCAGCUGAUUAGAUGGUGCCCACCCAGGUUAAGGAUGGGUCUGCGUCUCCC